rnacentral:rRNA from 1 species
UUGAAAGGGAAACGAUUGAAGUCAGUCGUACCAGCGGGAAAUCAACCUUUCGAGUGGGGNUUUUGGAGUUUUGAAGAGUGUCAAAACCUUUGAGAUUUCAAAAUAUUCGCUCUUUUGGUGUACUUUCUCGUGGGUAGGUUAACAUCGAUUUUGAUCAUCAUAAAAAGAUUGGAGGAAUGUAGCUUCGAUCUUGUAUUGAAGUGUUAUAGCCUUUGGUAAAUGUGAUGAUUAGGAUCGAGGAUUGCAACGAAUACCCUUUUGGGCUAUCCGCCUGAUCUCUGAUACGUGGCCUUGGUAUCGAAAGCGUGCUUAUGGUAUUGAGGUAUUACGGUCAAAAGGUUAGAACGGAUUACAUUCGUUAAGGAUGUUGACGUA